ensembl:lncRNA
GUGGACUACCCAGGAGGGAGUUGGAACUUUUAGCCCGGAGCUGUAGUGAAUCACAGAAGGCUUCCUAGAGGAGGAAGGAUGCAAGAUAAAGGUUGAUUCAAAUCACUAUUUACAAUAGCCAAGAAAAGGAAGCAACCUAAAUGUUCAUCAACAGAUGAAUGGAUAAAAAGAUGUGAUACAUAUAUACAAUGGAGUACUAUUCAGCCAUAAAAAAGAACAAAGCAAUGCCAUUUGCAGCGACAUGGAUGCAACUAAAGACGGUCAUACUAAGUGAGGCUUGACCUCCCCAGUCUAACCAACUCUGGACAGUUCACUGCGGACGGAAUGGUGACUAUGAGCACUCUGUGCUGAGCUUUGAGGACCUUUCAGUUAGCUUUCUGCACAAUUUGUAAAUCAGUCUGCAUGUAACUGAUGCAUUUCUUUUCCCCAUAGAGUUCAAAGCAUGAUGGAUAUUCUAGGCUGGUUUUGAAGGCAGGAUGGUUGAAGUUUUCAGCAUGUCAAUUUGUCACAUUUGAUGUAUCUGACACCUGGUCUUUAAGAGUCUUGGCAGGCAAAGUGUCCCAGGCUGGUGGGCACACUUUGGUAGAGCAGAGACCCAGGAACAGCAUCUUCCUGUCCGUGUGGUGCUGAGCCUUUGAAGUGGCUCACUGGUGCUUCAAAGAGAAGUUCAUGGUACAGGGAGCAGCAUCAGAUAUACUUUUAUGACCCUUAGAGACAAAAAACAUUAUUCAGAAGCCAAACGUCUGGAAGAAAAAUCUAUAUCCUCAGCCCUGCGGCUUGAAAGUUCAGAGAAGACUCAGAGUGCUCCCCGUGAGGAAACCAGAGCGUGUUGGAACAGAGCUGGAAUCAGACCUGGCACCCUCCCUGUGCAGUGGUAUCAACCAUCUUACUGAAGACAGGAACCUCCUUCUGGAUUUCCACUGGAGUUUGGAGGAGUGAGGAGACCUGGAAUCAGAUCAACUUACAGUAAUUCCUCCUGCCUCCUGACUUUUCAGAAAAAAAAGUGAUCAGAACUGCAGAGCAUCCUUAGUACACUUAUUGUUUAUUUGGGAAACUAACAUCUAUUGUGAACUGAAGUCAAUUUGUU